AUCUCUUUCUUCUCCAUUCUUUCUUUGUAACUCCCUUUCGGUUUUCAAUCUAGCUAGUGCAAUCUUCAAAGCGCCUCAAGGUACGUAUAGUUCUCACAAGUCACAUGUAUCAAUUUCUUAACAUUCUGAACUAAUUGUUUGUUUACACUCACAAACACACAAAUUAAAAAAAAAAAAAUUAACUCCACCUGUAGUUUCUCUCUCCCCGUUUUCUUUUGUAGUUUUCUUUAUCAAUUAGUUUGCACAAACUUAAAAUAUUAAUUAUCUUCUUUUUUAUUUUUCAUAUUGAUUAUUCAUGUAAUCUAUCUAUUUAUUUCGAGAACUUUUGCAUUUCUGUUAGAAAAAUUAAUAAUCAAUUAUAUGAGCCCCACCAAUGAACCCAACUUUAACUUUACCAAGGCAAACUUCUCAGUAUUUUUAUAUAAGGUUGAGGUGAAAUUAGAGUGAACUCUCUAUCGUUACUCUUCUUAAUAAUUGUUUAGCAUUAUUAUGUCACCGUAAGAAAGGCAAAAUUAUCAAGGAGGUAGAUGAAAAAAGUCAACACCCUACAGCAUAGGGAUGGCAAUAAAAUCCGGAUUCGGCCCGCAUCCGGAAAGAUUUGACAAAUCUGGAUCUAGAAAAAUCUAGUUCUAUAUAUUAAAAAUGUGGAUCCAGGUGCUAAGAAUUAGAAUCCGCCCGGAUCUAAAUUUGAAUCCGGAUGUAAGUGCAUUUAAAAAAUCGAAUAUUCAGAUCUAGUUAAAUUAUAUACUAAAUUAAAAUUAAAUUAAAAAAUUAUUAGUUUUUUAUGUUUGAUUUAUGUGUGGUACUUUUAAUUGUGAAUUUAUAAUGUUGUUUUAUGUUAUUCAUGUUGAAUUGUUGAUUAUUAAAUUAUGGUUGGAUUUUAUUGAUAUUAUUAGAUCAAUUCUUGAAUUUUAAUUUAUGUGGAUCCGAAUAUUCGGGAUAUCCGUCCACAAUCCAUGCUGAUAUUACCUGCAUUUGGAUCCACAAAAAAAAAUUAUGACAGAUCUAAAUAUGAAAAUAUGAAUCUAGAUCCGAAUUCGGAUCUAGAUUUAUCCAUCCUGACAACACUCAUAAGAAAAAUUGCAAUUACUUUCAAGUUAUGUUUGAGAGCUACGACUAACUAUAGGAUAAUAUUAGUUUUGGGAUAAAAUAUUAAUCAUAUAUUUGGCACGCUCUCAUGGAUUAGACAAAUGGACUAAAUAUAAUUUUUUAUCCCAAAUUUUUACAUGGGUUUAAUUGGGAUUAGAUAAUAAGAAGAAAAAAAAUGUUCAUUCAUUCAUGAUAUCUUCUAUGAUUUAUUAUACUUUUUUUUACUUGCUACUUAAAAUUAGUUAUAGUUAUUAAUCAAUUAAUCUUUUAUUAUUCAUGAUUUACUUAAAAUUUAUUAAAUAAUUUUAUUUUUAUUUUAUUUAAUAUGGAAUAACAUAUCUCAAACUAAAAAGCCCAUAAUUUAUAUUUCUUUGUUAUAAUUUUUACUAUCCAAUAACUAAUUUAAUAUAUAUUUACUUUCUUAUUAGUUUUCUUAAAAUUAAUUAUAAUAUUUCUUAUUAAAUAUCUAUGAGUAAUUUAUAUUAUCAACUUAAAUACUAUUUAACUUUAGUUAAAUAUAAUUUAAUAUAGUUCAAUUCGAUACUAUAUAAAAUAUGAGAUAAUAUCAUAUAUAUAUAGUCUAACUAAAUUUAAUUCAAUUUAAUUUAGUCCAAUCUAUAUUUGAGGCUGUCAAAGCUACUAACUUUGACAACAUAAAUGCAUCGAAUUCGGUGCCAAAAUUGUUGGAAAGCAGCCCACGCAAUUUAAAAAUAUAUAUACAUAUGAACAAUAACCAAUUCAUUAGCUAUAAAAGGAGGGGUACUUCCCUCAUUUCAUUUAUCCCCUUCAAUUCACUUAUUCUUUUGAGAGUGAAAAGCCGGGAGUUUGAGAAGUGAGAGAAUUAAGAGUUCUAAUAAACUCUUGAGUGAUUAGUAAUUUGAGAAUUUGGGUAUAUUAGGGUUUUGAGUUGUGAGACAAAAUAUGAUAAUAUUUUUUCAUUUCACUAAUAAAAUAUUUCCUUCUUUCUUCGCCUGUGGACACAGGCAAAAAGUCGAACCAUGCAAUUUAUAGUAUCCUUUGCUUAUUCUUCACUUUUCUCCAAUUUCAUUUUAGUCGUGGCCCUGCUUCACUUAUCAAUUUCUUAAUAGUGGUAUCACAACUUUUAGUUGUCAAAUUACUAUUCACGUAUAUGGUACUAUUCACGUAUAUGGUUAUUGUUCAUAUGAAACGGUGAGAGUCAAUCCUAGCAAAGGCAGCUAGUGGUGAAAAGCAACAGCGACAAAGUACAAAAUUUAGAAGUUCAGCGGAAAUAAUUUCUCUUUGUGGAAAAUGAAGAUGAAGGCUAUUUUGAGGAAACACAGUUGCUUGGCAGCAAUAGAGAAAAACCCACAGAGAUAACUAAUGAUGUCAAGUGGAAUAAGAUAAAUAGUAAUGCAAUUACUAAUCUAGAUUUAGCAUUGGGUGAUGAAGUGUUAUUUAGUACAGAGGAAAAAAAGACAGCAAAGGAAGUACGAGAGACUUUUUCAAAAUUGCACUAGACCAAGUCUUUACAAAAUAAGAUUUUCUUAAAAUGAAAAUUUUACACUCCUUGAAUGGCGGAAUCUGCAUCAGUGAUGGACUAUGUCAACACCUUAAAGACUCUAUUUUUACAACUCACAAAGUUGAGUAAUAAAAUAGACAAAACUGAACAUGCAAAGCUUUUACUUCAAAGUCUACUAGAUUCUUAAUCAACUCAUCAUCAAUCUAAUGAACAACAACUAAAUAGACAAUCUAGUCUUCGAUGAUGUUACAACCUCAGUAUUAAAUGAAGAAAGCAGGCAAAAAAAUAAAAAAGGCAAGCAGUCGAGUUUACAAUAAGUGGAAGCAUUAUUAAUGAUGAAAGUGGGAGAUCAAUGGAACAUGGCCUCAGUAGGAGUCACAAUCAUGGUACAUCAAAAUUGAGUAAGAAGAUGUCAAAUAUUAUAAUUGUGGCAAGAAAUGGCACGUUAAGAAAGAGUAUUGAAAAAAAUAAGUAGAGUGAAGUGAAAUACAAGUUAUGCAACCCAAAAGGGGGGUGAAUUGGAUUUUAAAACUUAUGCUAAGCAAACUACACAACAAUUCAAUCUAAUGCCUUAGUGGAAUCGAAAACAAUAAAUUCAAUCACACACAAUAAUAAAAGAGUAAGGGAAGAGAAAACAAACAGAAGGAUUUUUACAUGGUUCGGCAAUCUCCGCCUACGUUUACGCCUCUAAGCAAACUAAGCUUGAUGAUUUCACUAUCCAAGCCUCCCAAGGCUUCAAGUUCUUUAUAAUUGACUUCCAAGGUGUCAAUAAACCUUUACAAUCAAGAGAUUAUCUCCCCAAUCUCUUCACCCCAAGUGUUUCUCACACUUGUACACUUACAAUUUGAUGAGAAAUGAAAAUUACAAUAAACAACUCUCUUUUAGAGUGGAUAUACAAAUGAUAGCUCAAUGAAGAUUUAAUCUAUGAUGAUUUUCGAAUUUGGAAGCUCAAAAUAUGUUGUUUUCACUUGUUUAUGCUUGCUAAGCUUGCUAAAAAUGAAUUGAAUAUGAGUUUAUAUAGUUUCACCCCAAAAACUAGCCAUUAUAGACUUUCUAGUGAUAACUGGCUUGCCGCUUUAUGUUACCGUUACAUUCAAAGAUUUGAAUUUUGCACAUCCGGCAUGUCGCUUUCUUAAUCCGGUUAGCCGCUUUCAUUCCAAAGAGCUUCUACCCAUAACCGGCUUGCCGCUUUUUCAAAUCCGGCUAGUCGUUUUGCUACAGUGAUUGCUACAAUGAACUAUUUUCUAAAAUUAUAAUUUUACCCCAAAACUUUCUAUAACUACACUAUGGCCCAAAAUGCUAUGCAACUUUUCAAAUAAGUCCUUCUCCGGAAUUCCAAGUAAUACUUGUUGAUUUCAAAGUUUUUAAAACUCUUUCAAUUAGACCAUAAACUUGAAAAACAACAAAUUUCAUAAAAUCAUCUUUCCAUUAAAUAUAAAACCUUUAUAUUAUGAAGAUAAUGAUUUAUUUAAAAAGUAUGAAAAAUAACUUGAGCUUUUAAAAGCUUAAUCAUUCUUAAUUUUGUUUGUUAUCAUCAAAAUCAACAUUAUGGACACAUAAAUGUUAACAAUUUCCCCCUUUUCGAUGAUGACAAGCUUUUCACGUAUUUAAAGAAUGAUUGCACAAAUUGCUCUCCCUAAAUGUAAGCUCCCCUUACAAUUUGAGUUUCUAAAAGAUUAAUCAUUCUUAAUCUUGUUUGUUAUCAUCAAAAUCAACAUUAUUGACACAUACAUGUUAACAUGAAGAUAAUAAAACUGAGUUAUCAAAUGCUUAAGGCUGUGUAGCGAGUACUUCUAAUGAUGGUAAAAUUCUCUACAACAAGGUAACAAUUGUUGCAGAAGGCAGGAAAUUGCUAAUGUCUAGGUUAUAGACUCAAGAGCAACAUAGCUUCUGACAUAUCAGAGAGAAUGGUUCUACAUAUAUAAACCUAUCUCAUGAGGAUUUGUAUACAGGGGUGAUGAUCAUGCUUUGUAAAUCGCUGGUAUUAGUAUUGUCAAAAUAAAAAAAAAUUAAUGGUACAGUUCACACAAUUGAAGAGGCACAAUAUGUCAAAGCCCUAAAGAAGAAUCUAUUGUGUUUGGGACAAACAGAUUGUAUUGGGUGCAAAACUCAUGUGAAAAAUAGGAUCAUGAAGAUUGUUAGAGGAGUUUUUGUAUUGAUGAAGGUGGAAAAAUUGAUGUUAAUCUAUUCAUGCUUAAAUAGGAAAAAUUAUAGAAAGCUGAAUUGCGAGUUGCGAAAAAUGGGUAAGAGUCGAGGAUGAUGUGGUAUCUUAAUCAUGGCCACAAGUCGGAAUAAAGUUUGAAGAUUCUCUCUGAGUGAAAGUUGCUUCCAGGGCUUAAAUGGUGAACUUACCAUUUUGCGAGCAUAGCAAAUUUGACACCAGAAGUAAAUGCAUUCUAGACAUAGUUUAUUCUAAUAUUUGGGAAUCACCAAUGUCUCCUUAGGAGGUGUAAAGUACUUGGUAACUUUCAUUGAUGAUUACUCCAAGAUAUUUUGAGCGUAUCUAAUCAAGAAAACAUUAUAUGUGUUUCCAGAAUUCAAAGAAUUCAAAGCAUGGGUUGAAAUUGAAUCCAGGAAAAGAAUUAAGUGAUUGAGGACAGAUAAUAGUAAACCGAUUCUAGCAAAAGUAGCCAAAAUUACUUGUCAUGUAGUAAACCAAUUGCCAUAUACGACAAUUGGAUUGAAGACUUAUGGAAAUGUGGACUGGGAAGCUAGCUGAUUACUCGCAUUUGCAUGCAUUUGGAUGUCGUAUGUACAUGAUGUACAAUGCUCAAGAAAGAACAAAUUGGGAUCCAAAAUUUAGGAGAUAGAGUAAAGGGGUAUCGUCUGUAGAUUCCCAUUGCCCAUAAGAUUGUCAUCAGCAGAUAUGUUAUCUUUGUAGAAAAUCAACUAUAAAGGAAAAGUGGGGAUGAUAGUUGUUGAGUGCUAGAAAAUGUAUAUUUGUAAAGGAGAAAAUCGUCAUUUUACACUUCAAGUCUCACUAACAUCUCUACUUUUAUGUAUUUAAGUCCAUUCUAAUUUAAUUAUGUGUGUUUUAUUAUAAUUAAGCAUUUUAUGUAUUUUAGAGGGUAUCAUGGCCAUUUCACAAUGAAUGAGAUAUUAGAUAGCAAAACGGAUAUCAAUUUUGAACUUAGGACAGUCGAAAACCUUAAAAGGAGCAUAAAAGAAUAAAUGACACUGUUCACAUGUAUGGUACUAUUCAUGACACUGUUCACAUUUACAGUCCGAUGAUAUGGCGUUGACUGAUGACGUGGCACCGACCGAUGAUGUGGCAGCAUUCGAUUGGACGAAUGAGGUGGCAUUGAAUGCUUAAGUGGCGUUGACUGAUGAAGUGGUGUUGACCGAUGAUGUGGCGCGAUUCUAUUGGACUAAAAUGUUGAUAUGGUGUUGACCGGUGACGUGGCAGUAUGUUAGUGGACCAAAAAAAGUGCAUACGGUACAUGCAUAUACACGAAAUGACAUACCUGAUUAUGUAUUCGAUCUAAUCAGAACUUGCCACGUGGUGCAAUCCUGAGCGUCCAAAUUGUUUUAAUAUGGUGGCCAUGAUUUACUCAGUGUAUCUAUAAAUAGGGGGCUUCCCCCUUAAUUCG
rnacentral:lncRNA from 1 species